UUUUUUUUUUUUUUUUUUUUUUUUUUUUUUUCUUAGCUGUUUAUGCUCUAUAGGAGAAUAUUAUGACAAAUUUGACAAAAUGUGUUAGGACUUUGUAUACAUUUCACCUAGGAACUCAAAAUGUGCUUGCUGCUAAUUUGUCUUAUAUCCUCAUCAGUAUGGUGACUGUGGACCAAAGUGUUUAUGUGGCAUAUUGCCUUAGUUUUUAUGAAACUGCAAUUACAGUGUGAAUCAUAGCUUUGAUCAGAGAAGUGAGAAGGAUGCUAUGUGGUUGUCCCAAACAGCUCACAUUCACCAGGGCUAACUGCUUGGAAGCUCUUUGGCCUGUAGGAUGUAUGCAUUAUCUUCUUCACUUAAUCCUCUCCAUUUUAUAAAUGACAAGAUGGAACUCCUUUAGAGAAAUUAUGUGAGGUGGGCACAUCCCUUAACUGGGGACUGCAAACCGUUUUUAGAUUCUAAGAUUAGAUUUGUAAGCACAUUGAGUUUUGGAAAUUACCGUUUUUAGAUUCUAAGUUUAGAUUUGUAAGCACACUGAGUUUUAUCUCUGUGCCAAUUGCAAAUAAAGCCCCUCAGGAGGAAAGGCAAGGGGCCACAUGCAGACCAAGGAAUACCAACCGAGUGUAUCCUGUUUUGAAUGUGGUGCUGUGUUCCUGACGAGGCCUCUCUGGUAACAUAUGGUGGUGUUGUCAAAUUGUACUAUUUACAGCCAUGGGGCUGGGCUUGUAGGACUCAUGGGGGAAAAAAAAUUAAAAGAACAAAAACAAUAUCCAUUAACCUCUUUGCUCUGAGUCAUUAUCACCAAUCAGUCUGGAGUUUGUUCUCAUUUUGCUUUGUGUUUUGGCCACCAGGUAAAUUCCCCAGUGACACAGAUGGCUUGUUGGAUGGAGCUCACCACUGAGCCUCUGGCCUGUCAGGCGGUUCAGCUGGUUGUCAGGAUAAAAGGACGACAGGGCUGGCUGCCUCUGUCUCCUGUGAGCUUCUCAAGUGACAAAUGCUAGUGCUUCAGAAACAAACAAACAAAAAGAGUAAGAGGAAAAAUGCCUGUGAGCGAGUGGAGGGCAGUUAUGUUCUUCAUCUCACCUGCAUCUGAGAGCUUAGAUGUCACAGGAAUCAUUAGAACGCCUCAUAGGAGAACACAGGAACAGGCUGCUCUGUUUUAUUAUUUUCUUUUCUUUAUUAAAGUAUACUCGAUUUACAGUGUUGUGUUAGUUGGCAGGCUGAUUAGCUCGGUUAGAGUGUGUGCUAAUAAAAUGUUGUGUUAGUUUCAGUGUACUGCAAAGUGAUUCAUAUAUAUAAAUUCUUUUUCAGAUUAUUAUCCAUUAUAGGUUAUUGGAAAAUAUUGAGUAAAUUUCCCUGUGCUAUGUAGUAGGUCUUUGUUGAUUAUCCAUUUUAUAUGUUGUAGUUUUUAUCUGCUAAUUCAAACUCCUAAUUUAUUCCUCCCCUCUUCCACUUUGGUAACCUUAAGUUUGUUUUCUAUGUUUGUGGUCUAUUUCUGUUUUGUAUAUAAGUUCAUUUGUAUCCUGUUUUAGAUUCUACAUGUGUAAUAUUUGUCUUUCUCUGAUUUACUUCACUCAGUAUGAUAAGCUAUAGGUUAUCCUAGUUUCCACAAAUGACAUCAUUUCAUUCUUUUUUAUGGCUAAGUAAUAUUCCAUUGUAUAAAUGUACCACAUCUUCUUUGUCCAUUCAACUGCCUAUAGAAAUUUAGGCUAUUUCCAUGUCAUGGCUAUUGUGAUUAGUGUUGCUGUGAAUGUUGGGGUGCGUGUAUCUUUUCAAAUUAGAGUUUCCUCCUGUUAUAUGCCCAGGAGUGGGAUUGAUGGAUCAUUUGAUAGUUGUUUUUAGUUUUUUAAGGAACCUCCCUCCUGUUCUCCAUAGUGACUGCACUAUUUAUUCAUCAGAAUACAGAAACAUAGACCAUCAUCUCAACACGCAGCUCAGUAGAAAGUCAGGACAGAACUGUACAGGAGGAGCACACAGGGAGAUGUGGACUUAGAAGUAGCAUCUAAGGAAGAUUGCAUGGGUUUAAGGCUCAGGAAAUGGCAGGUGUUCACCCACCAGGCAGAGACAUGGGUCAUGGUCUUAGAGCAAGACCAGCUUCCAUGAAAGUUUGGAGAAAAGUGCAGGGUGAGGUGGUUUGGGACCUCAUUGGCUGAGCACAGUCUGUGGGUUCAUCACAUGGUCCCUGUGCCUGGCUGCUCCUACCCAUGCAGACAGUCCUGGGGACCAUACUGUUCAUUCCUGACCUCAAGCCUGAGCUUGGCUCUUGCCUUGGCCUUGUGUCUUUUCUAUGUAUCCUUCCUGGUCUUGUUGCAGGACACCUCCUGCCUCUUAGUACCAGGGAGAGGAGUCCUUCUUUGUAUCAACCUCCUGCAGUACUCCCAUCAGGAUUAACCACUGAUAUGUCUAUUUCUCUGAGUGAUGCUGAAUGGUGACUGGGUGCCAGAUGUGCUCAGACAUGGGGUCCUGACAAAAAUGAUCCAUAGGAGAAGUUUGUGUUGGACUCCACCCUUAACUCCCCCUUGCUACUUAGAGUCUGUUGUCCUGGAAUGUCCCCCUAAUUCUUCCCCAUGACCCUCAAUAUGUCCAUCUCAGCAGCUUAAGACAUUUAGGUUGACAUGGUUCCUGCAGAUAAUCUUGUAAAGGGCUUCUACUGCCAAUUCUUCAGGAACAGGUCCUUAGCACAAAAUAAUUAGCCAGCAUGUCCAAACUGAUGAAAUGUCAGAAAAUUUUGAAGGGGUUCUCAUAUCAGCUACUCUUUAUGAGUUUCAACAGUGUUCUUAUAAAAAGAAGUGUCUUAAUCACCACAAAGCUCUGAUGGUAGAAAUGUUAAGUGAGGAAGAAAUAAGAGGCUUUUAAAAAGUUCAUAUUCAAGUCAGGGCUCCUGGCUAGUUGGCAGCUCCAUCCACACACAGGGCAGCUUCCCUUUCACAACAGUGUUAAACUCAGAAAGCAAAAGCAAAAACCCAACUGGAACAAUGAUAUGUUUUCCAUAUGAAUGUUGCUGCUUCUUUUAUUGAAAUGCAUGUCAUUGUUCUUGAGGCUGGAAGGCUGAAGAUGAGUGAUGGCAUUUUCCAACUGUGCAGUCAAGCGCCGACCGCAGAACAAUGCGCUUUAAUAAACCUAGUGCAACGUAUCCGGAGGGCUUUGAUCAGCAGGUGCGUCUGGGCAUCACACUACUUCUCUUUCCUUCCUGUUUCCUUCUUUCUGAUGAAUAACCAAAUUAGACUGGAUGGCAGAAAACUUCUUGCAACAGAGUUCGUGUGAACUUCAGUAUCCUGAUUUUACUUUCACCUUCAUCUGAGAAUUUGCCUCCAAAGAAAAAAAAUAAAAUAAAACGAAGGAAUAAAAGGACGUCUGUCUCUUAGAUUGCAAAGCACCUGAUGUUCAGGUUAGUCUCAGCCUCGGAACUGACUUUGUUCCUGAACGCAGUGGGUUAGGACAGUCUGGUAUCUGUUAAAUGCUACUCAGUGUAAAAGCAUUCCUUCAACUCUUACCUCAUUGCUUCUGAAUCUGGGACACACCUUCCAACACCAUCUCCUUUAGUCCUAAGUGGAAAUAGCAGGUACGAAAGUAAGCCUUAUGACCACACACCCUUCACCUCAUUUCCUUUAAGACACAGAACUAUAAUUAGAACCACAAGAGUCACCUGGAUUUUCCACUUUGGAGUGGAGGAAAUCCGUGUCAUUAUUUGUGCGUACUGUACUGUUGAAGACACAAAUGUUUCUCAAUACAAUCUGAUUUUGAAGUAGGGGAGAGAAAAAAUAAUGCAUACAUUAAAACAGCAAUCAGAUAUUAUGUGGGAAUCUUGAAAGGAUAAGAAACUCAGAUGAAAAUACUAGAAUAAUCACUUCACUUCCCUUUCUUCCACUUAUAAUAACUUUUGGUGUCAGGCCAAAAUAUUGUUUCACACCCAGGGCAUCUGUGGGUCAUUUUACCCUACAAAGUCACAACCAUUUACAAAAAAAAAAAAAAAA
rnacentral:lncRNA from 9 species